rnacentral:misc_RNA from 1 species
CAUUGAAACAACGCCUAACACCAAGAGAGAAGGUCCUCGUCGUAAUCAUCAUUAUUAUUUUUAUGUUGUUGGUUAUCUUCUUCGGACUUUUUAUCGCCUUUUGCGUCAAAUACGAUGAAAAGAACGGCUCGACUGAGUUCGUUUCUACUUUCGUUCCGUCAGAAAAUGUCUGCCAAACGUUCGAGUGUCUGGAAUCAGCUGCCACCAUCGCCAAAAGCAUAAACACCAGUGUGGAUCCUUGCGACAACUUCUACCAGUUCGCGUGCGGACGCUGGAUGGCGGAGUAUCCUGUACCCUUGGGUUCCAGCAGAAUUAAUAAUUUUAUUCUUAUAGGAAACGAGAUCACACAGACGCUCAAAGGUCUACUUACCAUCCAAGACGAAACAGCUCCUGAAGCAGUCAAGCAGGCUCGUGCUUACUUCCGGUCCUGCCAGGACGCUGACACCAGAGAAAAGGAGGGCAGUAAGCCGGUACUCGACCUCUUCAAUCUGAGUGGCAGUGGCAUCUACCCGACACUACAACCGUCAUGGAAUGACACGGGUAUGACGUUCUCAGACAUCGUGGAGUACCUCGCAAACGUUGGUGACCUUGGCACUAGUGUUUUCACUCCUAUGCUGGUCAUGCAGGACGAGAUGCAGUCAGACCGAAAUAUAAUCAGGUUCUCGCAGACUGACCUGAUCUUGCCAGCACGAGAGAGCUACUUUACAGAGAGAAACUCCACUGAGAUGAUGCUUUACGAAAGCGUGUAUGCCCAGGUCCUCGAGGCGCUGGGUGCAAACGCUACCACAGCCGCCAAAGAUGCCAAAGACGUGGUGGACUUUGAGAUUGAGCUGGCAUAUGCAAUUGAAUCGCCAGAGAAACGGCUCGACAAGGCCAAGCUGUACCACAGAAUGACUAUAGCUGACUUGACUACCAUGUUUCCACAGUUUGCUUGGCUUCGCUACAUACAGAGUCAGUUCAAAAAAUUAGGUGUGGACUAUAAUAUUACAAAGGAUGAGAUGGUCGCCAACGACGCCUUAACUUACUAUACAAACCUUUUCACAUUGGUUAAUCAAACAUCUAAAAGGACGCUGUUGAACUAUGGCAUGUGGCGUCAGCUGUGUGAUUUCUUAGGUUACCUCGGCCCAAAAUUUACCAAGAUUGUGAAGGAAGCCAUAGGAGAGCCUGACGAGGUGUGUGUAGUCCACACUCAAACAAUCUUUCAGUAUGCUGUGGGCAGACUCUACGUGGACAGCAAAUUCUCAUCACAAGAUAAGCUAAGGAUGACACGCAUGAUUGAAAGUCUAAUGAAGACAUUCAAGGAGAUGCUACAAGAAAACACCUGGAUGACACAAGCUACGAGAGAUGAGGCUCUGAAAAAGUUGAGCUACUUUACUGUCAAGGUCGGCUAUCCGGAUUUUAUCCUUAAUGACACGGCCCUUAAUGAGAAAACUAGCAUGUACAAUGUAGUUGAAAGCCAUUUCUUUGGAACCUAUCUGGAUAUUGCCAAGAAAUCUUACCUCUUGAUGCUUAAGAGUCUACGAGAACCAGUUGACAAAACUGCGUGGGGCAUGGCUGCAUUUGAAGUGAACGCUUACUACAGAGCCCUCAAUAACGAAAUCGUAUUUCCAGCAGGAAUCUCUAAUCCGCCGUUAUACAGCAGUGGGAUUUCAGACGCCCUGCUGUAUGGUGGCAUUGGGAUGGUAAUUGGACAUGAAAUCACUCAUGGGUACGAUAGUCAAGGUAGUGCGUAUGAUGAGAAAGGCAACCUACGGCAAUGGUGGCAAGACGUGGAUCUGGAACGAUAUUCAAAAACCGGACUCAGUGCCUAGUGGAUCAGUACAAUCAGUUUGCAUACAGUUCGCUGAACAUGACUGUGAAUGGAAAGCUUACUAUAGGAGAAAACAUCGCCGACUGCGGCGGAUUACGACAAGCAUUUAGGGCAUAUCGCAGUGUUAUCAAGGAGAGAGGACGAGAAGAGGACAAGUACCCGACACUGCCGUACACACAGGACCAAC